GUGACUGCGUACCUUUUGUAUAAUGGGUCAGCGACUUAUAUUCUGUAGCAAGGUUAACCGAAUAGGGGAGCCGGAGGGAAACCGAGUCUUAAUUGGGCGUUAAGUUGCAGGGUAUAGACCCGAAACCCGGUGAUCUAGCCAUGGGCAGGUUGAAGGUUGGGUAACACUAACUGGAGGACCGAACCGACUAAUGUUGAAAAAUUAGCGGAUGACCUGUGGCUGGGGGUGAAAGGCCAAUCAAACCGGGAGAUAGCUGGUUCUCCCCGAAAGCUAUUUAGGUAGCGCCUCGUGAAUUCAUCUCCGGGGGUAGAGCACUGUUUCGGCUAGGGGGCCAUCCCGGCUUACCAACCCGAUGCAAACUGCGAAUACCGGAGAAUGUUAUCACGGGAGACACACGGCGGGUGCUAACGUCCGUCGUGAAGAGGGAAACAACCCAGACCGCCAGCUAAGGUCCCAAAGUCAUGGUUAAGUGGGAAACGAUGUGGGAAGGCCCAGACAGCCAGGAUGUUGGCUUAGAAGCAGCCAUCAUUUAAAGAAAGCGUAAUAGCUCACUGGUCGAGUCGGCCUGCGCGGAAGAUGUAACGGGGCUAAACCAUGCACCGAAGCUGCGGCAGCGACGCUGAUGCGUUGUUGGGUAGGGGAGCGUUCUGUAAGCCUGCGAAGGUGUGUCGUGAGGCAUGCUGGAGGUAUCAGAAGUGCGAAUGCUGACAUAAGUAACGAUAAAGCGGGUGAAAAGCCCGCUCGCCGGAAGACCAAGGGUUCCUGUCCAACGUUAAUCGGGGCAGGGUGAGUCGACCCCUAAGGCGAGGCCGAAAGGCGUAGUCGAUGGGAAACGGGUUAAUAUUCCCGUACUUGGUGUUACUGCGAAGGGGGGACGGAGAAGGCUAUGUUGGCCGGGCGACGGUUGUCCCGGUUUAAGCGUGUAGGUGUGUGUUCCAGGUAAAUCCGGUUCACUUUAACACUGAGGCGUGAUGACGAGGCACUACGGUGCUGAAGCAACAAAUGCCCUGCUUCCAGGAAAAGCCUCUAAGCAUCAGGUAACAUCAAAUCGUACCCCAAACCGACACAGGUGGUCAGGUAGAGAAUACCAAGGCGCUUGAGAGAACUCGGGUGAAGGAACUAGGCAAAAUGGUGCCGUAACUUCGGGAGAAGGCACGCUGACACGUAGGUGAAGUGAUUUACUCAUGGAGCUGAAGUCAGUCGAAGAUACCAGCUGGCUGCAACUGUUUAUUAAAAACACAGCACUGUGCAAACACGAAAGUGGACGUAUACGGUGUGACGCCUGCCCGGUGCCGGAAGGUUAAUUGAUGGGGUCAGCGCAAGCGAAGCUCCUGAUCGAAGCCCCGGUAAACGGCGGCCGUAACUAUAACGGUCCUAAGGUAGCGAAAUUCCUUGUCGGGUAAGUUCCGACCUGCACGAAUGGCGUAAUGAUGGCCAGGCUGUCUCCACCCGAGACUCAGUGAAAUUGAACUCGCUGUGAAGAUGCAGUGUACCCGCGGCAAGACGGAAAGACCCCGUGAACCUUUACUAUAGCUUGACACUGAACAUUGAGCCUUGAUGUGUAGGAUAGGUGGGAGGCUUUGAAGUGUGGACGCCAGUCUGCAUGGAGCCGGCCUUGAAAUACCACCCUUUAAUGUUUGAUGUUCUAACGUGGACCCGUGAUCCGGGUUGCGGACAGUGUCUGGUGGGUAGUUUGACUGGGGCGGUCUCCUCCUAAAGAGUAACGGAGGAGCACGAAGGUUGGCUAAUCCUGGUCGGACAUCAGGAGGUUAGUGCAAUGGCAUAAGCCAGCUUGACUGCGAGCGUGACGGCGCGAGCAGGUGCGAAAGCAGGUCAUAGUGAUCCGGUGGUUCUGAAUGGAAGGGCCAUCGCUCAACGGAUAAAAGGUACUCCGGGGAUAACAGGCUGAUACCGCCCAAGAGUUCAUAUCGACGGCGGUGUUUGGCACCUCGAUGUCGGCUCAUCACAUCCUGGGGCUGAAGUAGGUCCCAAGGGUAUGGCUGUUCGCCAUUUAAAGUGGUACGCGAGCUGGGUUUAGAACGUCGUGAGACAGUUCGGUCCCUAUCUGCCGUGGGCGCUGGAGAACUGAGGGGGGCUGCUCCUAGUACGAGAGGACCGGAGUGGACGCAUCACUGGUGUUCGGGUUGUCAUGCCAAUGGCACUGCCCGGUAGCUAAAUGCGGAAGAGAUAAGUGCUGAAAGCAUCUAAGCACGAAACUUGCCCCGAGAUGAGUUCUCCCUGAGACUUAGAGUCUCCUGAAGGAACGUUGAAGACGACGACGUUGAUAGGCCGGGUGUGUAAGCGCAGCGAUGCGUUGAGCUAACCGGUACUAAUGAACCGUGAGGCUUAACCUU
rnacentral:rRNA from 1 species